GGAGAAGCUAGGUGCUGUGCACUUAGUGGAAACCGGCGAACGGGUGCGUAACACGUACGCAAUCUACCCUUUACAGAGGAAUAGCCCCGAGAAAUUGGGAUUAAUACCUCAUAGUAUUAUUGAAAGGCAUCUUUUAAUAAUUAAAGUUCAGGCGGUAAAGGAUGAGCGUGCGGCUCAUUAGCUAGUUGGUAAGGUAAUGGCUUACCAAGGCAACGAUGAGUAGCCGGCGUGAGAGCGCGAUCGGCCACACUGGCACUGAGACACGGGCCAGACUCCUACGGGAGGCAGCAGUAGGGAAUAUUGGACAAUGGAGGAAACUCUGAUCCAGCCAUCCCGCGUGAAGGAUGACGGUCCUCUGGAUUGUAAACUUCUUUUAUAUGGGAAGAAACCUCGAGAUUUAUCUUGAGCUGACGGUACCAUAAGAAUAAGCACCGGCUAACUCCGUGCCAGCAGCCGCGGUAAUACGGAGGGUGCAAGCGUUAUCCGGAUUUACUGGGUUUAAAGGGUGCGCAGGCGGAAUGUUAAGUCAGUGGUGAAAUCUUACAGCUCAACUGUGAAAUUGCCAUUGAUACUGACAUUCUUGAAUAUAGUUGAGGUAGGCGGAAUUUGACAUGUAGCGGUGAAAUGCAUAGAUAUGUCAAGGAACACCAAUUGCGUANGCAGCUUACUAAGCUAUUAUUGACGC
rnacentral:rRNA from 1 species